rnacentral:rRNA from 1 species
GGUCAGGAUGAACGCUAGCGACAGGCUAACACAUGCAAGUCGAGGGGCAGCAUAGAAGUAGCAAUACUUGGUGGCGACCGGCGCACGGGUGAGUAACGCGUAUGCAACCUACCUAUCAGAGGGGAAUAACCCGGCGAAAGUCGGACUAAUACCGCAUAAAACAGGGGCACCGCAUGGUGAUAUUUGUUAAAGAAAUUCGCUGAUAGAUGGGCAUGCGUUCCAUUAGGUAGUUGGUGAGGUAACGGCUCACCAAGCCGACGAUGGAUAGGGGAACUGAGAGGUUGGUCCCCCACACUGGUACUGAGACACGGACCAGACUCCUACGGGAGGCAGCAGUGAGGAAUAUUGGUCAAUGGGCGGGAGCCUGAACCAGCCAAGUCGCGUGAAGGAAGAAGGAUCUAUGGUUCGUAAACUUCUUUUGCAGGGGAAUAAAGUGCAGGACGUGUCCUGUUUUGUAUGUACCCUGAGAAUAAGGAUCGGCUAACUCCGUGCCAGCCGCUGC